rnacentral:siRNA from 1 species
UGGAGGGUGUCAAACGUGGUAC